CCAGAAUGUGACCACUGGGAAUCUUCCCAGUAAAAUAUUAACCAACUCUGUCCUUAUUGAAUCAAAACAAUGAAUAACAAAAGAGGACUUUGACUCCAAUCUGAAGCCAUAAAACAAACUGGAUGAGGCAUGAUAAUUCAACAGGAAAGAGAUUACUGACCCUUCAUAGACUGGCAGCUCUUUAAAUUAAGAUGACUCCUAAGAGAAAAGGAUGGAACGUGGCAAAGUUCACGAGAAGGAGCAAACAGUAUUUGAAGACCUCUUUGAAAAGUCUCCCCAGGAGCAGGAAGAUAGGCGCCCGCUGUACCAGUCAAAGACACCACCCUACUGUGAUGUUAAUAAGAUGAAGGGUACUAGUACAAAAAGCCACAGUAAUUAUAGGAAGAGAACUCCAUCCCAUUGCCUUCCUGAGAUGCUGGACCACUGUGGGCAGCUGCCCUUGGAAGAAGCAUGCCACUGUCUCCUUCAAACCCCUCAAAGUCUCAGCUUCUCUCAUACUUUUGGAAAUUCUCAAGAUUGAAUAGAGUGAGGUUCUUCUUCAGUAUCAUUAGUUCUUUCUACACCACAGAAGAAAUUCUAAUCUGAACAUAAACAUAUUUUGGAUUAAUAAAUUCUUCUAAAAGUAUCUGUAUUAUCUGUUUUCAUGCUGCUGAUAAAGACAUACCCGAGACUGGGAAGAAAAAGAGGUUUAAUUGGACUUACAGUUCCACAUGGCUGGGGAGGCCUCAGAAUCAUGGCAGAGGGUGAAAGGCAUUUCUUACAUGGCAGCAGCAAGAGAAAAUAAGGAUGCAGAAGUGGAAAGCCCUGAUAAAACCAUCAGAUCACGUGAG
rnacentral:lncRNA from 1 species